UACGUAGGCAGCGAGCGUUGUUCGGAGUUACUGGGCGUAAAGGGUGUGUAGGCGGUUGUUUAAGUUUGGUGUGAAAUCUCCCGGCUCAACUGGGAGGGUGCGCCGAAUACUGAGCGACUAGAGUGCGGGAGAGGAGAGUGGAAUUCCUGGUGUAAGCGGUGAAAUGCGCAGAUAUCAGGAAGAACACCCGUGGCGAAGGCGGCUCUCUGGAACGCAACUGACGCUGAGACGCGAAAGCGUGGGGAGCAAACAGG
rnacentral:rRNA from 1 species